ACGGAGGAUGCAGGCGUUAUCCGGAUUUAUUAGGUUUAAAGGGUGCGUAGGCGGCUUGAUAAGUCAGGGGUGAAAUCUAACGGCUUAACCGUUAGUUUGCCUUUGAUACUGUUAGGCUAGAGUACGAACGAGGUAGGCGGAAUGUGCAGUGUAGCGGUGAAAUGCUUAGAUAUUGCACAGAACACCGAUUGCGGAGGCAGCUUACUAGGCCGUUACUGACGCUGAUGCACGAAAGCGUGGGGAUCAAACAG
rnacentral:rRNA from 1 species